rnacentral:rRNA from 1 species
CCUACGGGGGGCGGCAGUGGGGAAUUUUGCGCAAUGGGGGAAACCCUGACGCAGCAACGCCGCGUGAGUGAUGAAGGCCUUCGGGUCGUAAAGCUCUGUCAGAGGGAAAGAAGUGCAGUGGUGCUAAUACCAUCAUUGCUUGACGGUACCCUCAAAGGAAGCACCGGCUAACUCCGUGCCAGCAGCCCCGGUC